rnacentral:piRNA from 1 species
ACCGAAGGCACUGGGACACAGGCAGG